GUGGGGAAUCUUCCGCAAUGGACGAAAGUCUGACGGAGCGACGCCGCGUGAGUGAAGAAGGCCUUCGGGUCGUAAAGCUCUGUCAUCAGGGACGAAUGGCCGGUGGAGUGGAAAGCCACCGGAUUGACGGUACCUGAGAAGGAAGCCACGGCUAACUACGUGCCAGCAGCCGCGGUAAUACGUAGGUGGCAAGCGUUGUCCGGAAUUAUUGGGCGUAAAGCGCGCGCAGGUGGGAUCUUAAGUCCAUUUUGAAAGUUCGGAGCUCAACUCCGUGAUGGGAUGGAAACUGGGAUUCUUGAGUACCGGAGAGGAAAGCGGAAUUCCCCGUGUAGCGGUGAAAUGCGUAGAUAUGGGGAGGAACACCAGUGGCGAAGGCGGCUUUCUGGACGGUGUCUGACACUGAGGCGCGAAAGCCAGGGGAGCGAACGGGAUUAGAUACCCCGGUAGUCC
rnacentral:rRNA from 1 species